AAACAUGUAUAUCAUCGGCUAUUUUAUUAGCUAAUCACUAGCAAGUAUUUACACAUCAUUCAUUGUUCAUAUUAUACCAAAAGUAGCUAAGUUUCUAUACAUGCCAUACCCAAAACAAAACGUCUAAUUAUACCGAGUUAUUUCUUUGAUAGUGUGAUCAGCCUCCGACGUUUCCUUCGAUCCCCGGGUGACUAGAUAAGUACUAUAAGAAAAAGAAAAUAAAGAGAUUAAGCACUAGGCUUAGUAAGCUUACAAGCAAAUAAAUCACAACAUUCAACAUAAUGGAUAAUUAUGCAUAAUAUCAUCUAACAUCAUAAAUUUCUUUACUUCUCAAUUUCUAUCUUCUUCUUUAUUCCCUUACCUUCAUUCUUACCUGACCUUUCCUUUUUCAUAAGUAUAAUCUACUUUUCCUUUGCUGUUAAUUCACUGUAAUUUAACUCGUAUCCUGACCCGUUGAACCACUCGGAAUACUAAGGAUACUAGGGUCGUUCCUGUCUAUCAAUAUCCUGCCAAUGCCAUGUCUUUGACAUGGACUUACAUGAAUUAUUCAUGUCUCCAAUGCCAUAUAUAAUAUGGACUUACAUGGCUCAUCUCCAAAACCAUAUUUCUAAUAUGGACUUACAUGGCUCAUUUCUGUUCUGUCCUGUCAACCCUAAUAUCCUAACAUUCCUAGGGUUCAACCGGGGCUUUCUAACACUUUUCCUCUGUCACUUCACCUUAAAUUCGACUUUAAAUAUUUUCAUAACAUAAAUAUAUAAAUGCUGGAAAUUGACAAUAAUAAUGUAAAAUAAAAGAAUAUUGCAUUUAUUUACUAUAACUUACCUUGAUACAAAAUGUGACUAAACUUUACAAUUUAGUCCUUUACUUUUUCUUUUCCCUGAUCUACUCCCGAAUUUCGUUCUUCUUGAUCUAUAAUAGCAAUUUUAACUUAUUUAAUAUUCACAUUUAUUAAAA
rnacentral:lncRNA from 1 species